AACGGCUGGCGGCGUGCCUAACACAUGCAAGUCGAACGGAACUCUUUGGAUCAAGACUUCGGUCAAGUGAAUUUGAGUUUAGUGGCGGACGGGUGAGUAACGCGUGAGCAACCUGCCUUUCAGAGGGGGACAACAGUUGGAAACGACUGCUAAUACCGCAUAACGUAUCGAAGAGGCAUCUCUUUGAUACCAAAGAUUAUAUCGCUGAAAGAUGGGCUCGCGUACGAUUAGAUAGUUGGUGAGGUAACGGCUCACCAAGUCGACGAUCGUUAGCCGGACUGAGAGGUUGAACGGCCACAUUGGGACUGAGACACGGCCCAGACUCCUACGGGAGGCAGCAGUGAGGAAUAUUGGGCAAUGGGCGCAAGCCUGACCCAGCAAUGCCGCGUGAAGGAAGACGGUUUUCGGAUUGUAAACUUCUUUUAAGAGGGACGAUAAUGACGGUACCUCUUGAAUAAGCCACGGCUAACUACGUG
rnacentral:rRNA from 1 species